GGCGUUAUAGCCAAGUGGUUACGGCGACAGAUUAGAAUUCAUAUAACCUAUCUGUUCCUCUUUGAGGGCGCAGGUUCAAAUCCUGCUGGCGUCG